GCUGAUGUAGCUCAGUAGGUAGAGCAGCGCAUUCGUAACGCGAAGGUCGCAGGUUCGAUUCCUGUCCUCAGCA
rnacentral:tRNA from 2 species